AUGGACGAGGAGUUGAACCCAGUUUAUGGAGUAGUCUUGCAAAGUGAAGUCCUGUUCCACACUAACAGAAGCAACACCAAAAGCACUGCUGCAAGGAGCCGCCGGGAGCUCCAGGCUGAAGAGACCUGCCUCCCCUGGGAGACCUCUGCUAAAGGUGAAGACCUCCAAGCAGACCAGGCAGAUUUAGCAGGAGCUCAGGAAUUUUACAUCAAGGCCUGGGAGGGGAAGGUGAAGAAAAUGCCUGCUGUUCUGGCUGGGAAGAGUUUGAGAAGGCAGACCGAGCCAGCAGCUCAUGGGAAGGAGGCAGGAGGCUGGGCCUGUGCAGGAGCGAUCUGUGAGGGCCUGGGGAGCUGCUGGGCCAUCAGGGGACGUGCAGCUGAAACUUAUUUAAUUUCUCUUUAA
rnacentral:lncRNA from 1 species